CCGGCUUUUAAGAGUUUAUCAACUUCCUCAGCUAUUGCCAUUUGCCUUUUCGAUGCAUGACUUCAAACUUUUUCUUUUAUCGGCCGGUGUUCAGGAUCAACAGCCAGACGGUGUUCCAUAACUUCAGCAUCGAUCCCUGGCAUGUCCGUCGAAGCCCAAGCGAAAAUGUUCGCAUUCUUUUGUAAAAAGUUGAUAAGCUGUGUCCGCACCU
rnacentral:lncRNA from 1 species